GAUGAACGCUGACAGAAUGCUUAACACAUGCAAGUCAACCUGAAUUUGGGUUUUUUUACUUAGAUUUGGGUGGCGGACGGGUGAGUAACGCGUAAAGAACUUGCCUCACAGCUAGGGACAACAUUUGGAACCGAAUGCUAAUACCUGAUAUUAUGAUUAUAAGGCAUCUUAGAAUUAUGAAAGCUAUAUGCGCUGUGAGAGAGCUUUGCGUCCCAUUAGCUAGUUGGAGAGGUAACGGCUCACCAAGGCGAUGAUGGGUAGCCGGCCUGAGAGGGUGAACGGCCACAAGGGGACUGGGACACGGCCCGUACUCCUACGGGAGGCAGCAGUGGGGAAUAUUGGACAAUGGACCAAGAGUCUGAUCCAGCAAUUCUGUGUGCACAAUGACGUUUUUCGGAAUGUAAAGUGCUUUCAGUUGGGAAGAAAAAAAUGACGGUACCAACAGAAGAAGUGACGGCUAAAUACGUG
rnacentral:rRNA from 1 species